GAUGAACGCUGGCGGCGUGCUUAACACAUGCAAGUCGAACGGGAAACCUUUUAUUGAAGCUUCGGCAGAUUUAGCUGGUUUCUAGUGGCGGACGGGUGAGUAACGCGUGGGUAACCUGCCUUAUACAGGGGGAUAACAACCAGAAAUGGUUGCUAAUACCGCAUAAGCGCACAGGACCGCAUGGUCCGGUGUGAAAAACUCCGGUGGUAUAAGAUGGACCCGCGUUGGAUUAGCUAGUUGGCAGGGUAACGGCCUACCAAGGCGACGAUCCAUAGCCGGCCUGAGAGGGUGAACGGCCACAUUGGGACUGAGACACGGCCCAGACUCCUACGGGAGGCAGCAGUGGGGAAUAUUGCACAAUGGGGGAAACCCUGAUGCAGCGACGCCGCGUGAAGGAAGAAGUAUCUCGGUAUGUAAACUUCUAUCAGCAGGGAAGAUAGUGACGGUACCUGACUAAGAAGCCCCUGCUAACUACGUG
rnacentral:rRNA from 1 species